rnacentral:rRNA from 1 species
UGGGGAAUAUUGCACAAUGGACGCAAGUCUGAUGCAGCAACGCCGCGUGAAGGAUGAAGGUUUUCGGAUCGUAAACUUCUAUCGACCGGGACGAAUAAUGACGGUACCGGAGUAAGAAGCCCCGGCUAACUACGUGCCAGCAGCCGCGGUAAUACGUAGGGGGCAAGCGUUAUCCGGAAUUACUGGGUGUAAAGGGUGAGUAGGCGGUUAUAUAAGUCAUAUGUGAAAUUCCAAGGCUUAACCAUGGAACUGCAUAAGAAACUAUUUAACUUGAGUACAGGAGAGGUAAGCGGAAUUCUCAGUGUAGCGGUGAAAUGCGUAGAUAUUGAGAAGAACACCAGUGGCGAAGGCGGCUUACUGGACUGAAACUGACGCUGAGUCACGAAAGCGUGGGGAGCAAACA